UUAUAUCCAGGCCAGCAUCGGUUUGGAUGGUUGGUUAAAGACUUUAGGAAUGUAUCUACCUUCGGGUCGACUUAUAGCCUAGAGUGUAAUGCGACCUAUCUAGACCGAGGAACGCGCUUUUUGCUCGGAUGUUGGCGUAAUGGUUGUAAGCGG
rnacentral:rRNA from 1 species